rnacentral:misc_RNA from 1 species
ACUUGCCAUCCUGAUGUCGCCGCUUUGGACUCAGGUAAAGAUUGGACCUUUCCUUGUAAGCGGUGGCGCUGUUAGAAAUAAACCGUGGCCGGAAUCUGGUCCUUUGAGGCGCAGCGGACGGAGAUUUGAUGGAAAUUUUGGGAAGGGGAGAGGCGGAGACAGAAAGCAUGGUGAGUUGAUGUGCGGUGCCGUAGUGACUUUCAG